rnacentral:rRNA from 1 species
UACGUAGGGACAGCGUUGUCGGAUUUAUCGUGGCGUAAAGGGCGCGUAGGAGCGGCUGUGGUAAGUCGACUUGUGAAAACUCUCUGAGCUUAAACCUCAGCAGGCCAAGUGAUACGUGCUGUGCUAGGAGUGCAAGAAUCGGGCGAAUCGGAGUUCUUGGAUGGUACGGUGAAAUGAGCGAUAGACGUAGUCGAAGGGAGG